AUACGGAGGGUGCAAGCGUUGUUCGGAAUCACUGGGCGUAAAGGGCGCGCAGGCGGUUUGGUAAGUCAGAUGUGAAAGCCCAGGGCUCAACCAUGGAAGUGCAUUUGAAACUGUCAGACUUGAGUACUAGAGGGGAAAGUGGAAUUCCCGGUGUAGAGGUGAAAUUCGUAGAUAUCGGGAGGAAUACCGGUGGCGAAGGCGACUUUCUGGCUAGAUACUGACGCUGAGGCGCGAAAGCGUGGGGAGCAAACAGGAUUAGAAACCCCGGUAGUCC
rnacentral:rRNA from 1 species